rnacentral:rRNA from 1 species
GACGAACGCUGGCGGCGUGCCUAAUACAUGCAAGUUGAGCGAUGAAGAUUGGUGCCUGCACCAAUUUGAAGAGCAGCGAACGGGUGAGUAACGCGUGGGGAAUCUGCCUUUGAGCGGGGGACAACAUUUGGAAACGAAUGCUAAUACCGCAUAACAACUUUAAACAUAAGUUUUAAGUUUGAAAGAUGCAAUUGCAUCACUCAAAGAUGAUCCCGCGUUGUAUUAGCUAGUUGGUGAGGUAAAGGCUCACCAAGGCGAUGAUACAUAGCCGACCUGAGAGGGUGAUCGGCCACAUUGGGACUGAGACACGGCCCAAACUCCUUCGGGAGGCAGCAGUAGGGAAUCUUCGGCAAUGGACGAAAGUCUGACCGAGCAACGCCGCGUGAGUGAAGAAGGUUUUCGGAUCGUAAAACUCUGUUGGUAGAGAAGAACGUUGGUGAGAGUGGAAAGCUCAUCAAGUGACGGUAACUACCCAGAAAGGGACGGCUAACUACGUG